rnacentral:rRNA from 1 species
GACGAACGCUGGCGGCGUGCUUAACACAUGCAAGUCGAACGGAAAGGCCCUGCUUUUGUGGGGUGCUCGAGUGGCGAACGGGUGAGUAACACGUGAGUAACCUGCCCUUGACUUUGGGAUAACUUCAGGAAACUGGGGCUAAUACCGGAUAGGAGCUCCUGCUGCACGGUGGGGGUUGGAAAGUUUCGGCGGUUGGGGAUGGACUCGCGGCUUAUCAGCUUGUUGGUGGGGUAGUGGCUUACCAAGGCCUUGACGGGUAGCCGGCCUGAGAGGGUGACCGGCCACAUUGGGACUGAGAUACGGCCCAGACUCCUACGGGAGGCAGCAGUGGGGAAUAUUGCACAAUGGGCGGAAGCCUGAUGCAGCAACGCCGCGUGCGGGAUAACGGCCUUCGGGUUGUAAACCGCUUUCGCCUGUGACGAAGCGUGAGUGACGGUAAUGGGUAAAGAAGCACCGGCUAACUACGUGCCAGCAGCCGCGGUGAUACGUAGGGUGCGAGCGUUGUCCGGAUUUAUUGGGCGUAAAGGGCUCGUAGGUGGUUGAUCGCGUCGGAAGUGUAAUCUUGGGGCUUAACCCUGAGCGUGCUUUCGAUACGGGUUGACUUGAGGAAGGUAGGGGAGGAUGGAAUUCCUGGUGGAGCGGUGGAAUGCGCAGAUAUCAGGAGGAACACCAGUGGCGAAGGCGGUUCUCUGGGCCUUUCCUGACGCUGAGGAGCGAAAGCGUGGGGAGCGAACAGGCUUAGAUACCCUGGUAGUCCACGCUGUAAACGGUGGGUACUAGGUGUGGGGUCCAUUCCACGGGUUCCGUGCCGUAGCUAACGCUUUAAGUACCCCGCCUGGGGAGUACGGCCGCAAGGCUAAAACUCAAAGGAAUUGACGGGGCCCCGCACAAGCGGCGGAGCAUGCGGAUUAAUUCGAUGCAACGCGUAGAACCUUACCUGGGUUUGAUAUGGAUCGGGAGUGCUCAGAGAUGGGUGUGCCUCUUUUGGGGUCGGUUCACAGGUGGUGCAUGGCUGUCGUCAGCUCGUGUCGUGAGAUGUUGGGUUAAGUCCCGCAACGAGCGCAACCCUUGUUCACUGUUGCCAGCACGUUAUGGUGGGGACUCAGUGGAGACCGCCGGGGUCAACUCGGAGGAAGGUGGGGAUGACGUCAAGUCAUCAUGCCCCUUAUGUCCAGGGCUUCACGCAUGCUACAAUGGCUGGUACAGAGAGUGGCGAGCCUGUGAGGGUGAGCGAAUCUCGGAAAGCCGGUCUCAGUUCGGAUUGGGGUCUGCAACUCGACCUCAUGAAGUCGGAGUCGCUAGUAAUCGCAGAUCAGCAACGCUGCGGUGAAUACGUUCCCGGG